UGUGUGAUGAAGGCCUUCGGGUUGUAAAGCACUUUCGCACGUGACGAUGAUGACGGUAACGUGAGAAGAAGCCCCGGCUAACUUCGUGCCANCAGCCGCAGGUAAUACAGAAGGGGGCAAGCGUUGUUCGGAAUUACGUGGGCGUAAAGGGCAGCAGUAGGCGGUGCAUUAAGUUAGGCGUGAAAGCCCUGGGCUCAACCCGGGAAUUGCGCUUGAUACUGGUGCGCUUGAAUCCAGGAGAGGUUGGUGGAAUUCCCAGUGUAGAGGUGAAAUUCGUAGAGAUUGGGAAGAACGCCGGNGGCGAAGGCGGCCAACUGGACUGGUAUUGACGCUGAGGCGCGAAAGCGUGGGGAGCAAACAGGAUUAGAUACCCUGGUAGUCCACGCUGAAAACNAUGUGUGCUAGCCGUU
rnacentral:rRNA from 1 species